GUGACAGUGACCCAGAUGACCCUGAGCCUUUCCAUGGUUUUGAUGCCUCGCCCUAUACAUCAGAUGUAGAUGUUCCCUCAUCAGUUGAUACGAGUAUCACCUCUCCAGAGCCCAAAUCAGUUGAUACGAGUAGUAUCACCUCUCCCAUUCCUUCAGACUCCCAAGCACCUGCCCAUCCCACUCCAUAGCCCAGCCACCCACUCUCAUGUACCAUAUGGCCAUCCCAGUAAGCAAGCCAACCACUAGAAUUUGGUAAGGACAUUUUUUUUUAUUAAUGUUUUA